rnacentral:rRNA from 1 species
UACGUAGGGGGCAAGCGUUGUCCGGAAUCAUUGGGCGUAAAGCGCGCGUAGGCGGCCCGGUAAGUCCGCUGUAAAAGUCCAGGGCUCAACCCUGGAAAGCCGGUGGAUACUGUCGGGCUAGAGUCCGGAAGAGGCGAGUGGAAUUCCUGGUGGUAGCGGUGGAAUGCGCAGAUAUCAGGAGGAACACCGAUGGCGAAGGCAGCUCGCUGGGACGGUACUGACGCUGAGGCGCGAAAGCGUGGGGAGCGAACAGG